rnacentral:lncRNA from 1 species
GCCCUUCGCCAAGCCCCCGAAUAAACUUUUUUUAAAAAAAAAAAAAAAAAAAAAAGCAAAAGAGAGUCGGGUCCCGGUGGUUUUGCACAGCAUCCCCGUGGCUGAGGCAGUGCCACCCAACGUGGCAUCUUCCUCCUCCCCCCGCCCCCACGCACGGGAGGUUUCCCCCGCAAUAAACUUUCAGCAGCGUGUGUCCCCUGUGUGCGGAGCCCUGGGGACGGCUCUUUCCUUGACCUCCCCCCUCCCCGCGUGGCUCCAGCGGGGUAUUGCUGUGCAGCCCUUGGGGAUGGGCUGUGGGGGUGGGGGGUGUGCACACUGCAAAUAAAAGUCAGUCUCUGUGGACCAGGAGGAGGUUAAUUUUAAAACUCCAGCGCCUACUAGCCGCAAAGAACUAUCAAAGCAAAGACACAAUAGCAGCUGAGGAUGAAAAAGACAAGCAUAUUGAUUGCAGGCAACUUGUUCGGCAUUGUUUUUAUGGUGACUAGAAAAGGACAAUGUUCUUGAGAGGAUUUUUUUGCCUAUACGAAUGUAGAAGAGUUUCUCUUAAAGCUCAACUAUUAAAAAAAGGUACAAAGGAAAAUACUAAAUACUAUGCAGCAAACACAAAAGAAACAAUUUUACAAGUGAGCAUAACUUAUUUUCUUAACCAUAUGAUUAUGCCCUUUUUAAAACAAACCAAAAUUUAUGACAUAAAAAUUUCUGAGCUCAGAUUUAGAAUGUUGUAAUUAAAUCAGAUAGGUCAGAGGAUAGCUUUCCUUAAGUGUUUUAAAAGUUCUUGACUAAAUGUCAAA